rnacentral:lncRNA from 1 species
GACUCAAACAUAUGUUACACUAAGGGAUAACCUAUACUUACUCAAAGUGUCAAAAAUAUGAUCAAAUGAUCACCUAUAAACAUAUUGAAUUAGAGAAGAUUGAAUCAACCUAAGAGACCAUCUAUGAAUGACUUGAAAUGUAGAAGCAUUGAUCAACCAAGUCAUCACUCAAACAAAGUCAAAAGGAUGGCAAAAUUUGAAUUAAGAAUGAAAUAAAAAUGAAUUAAAAGGCCUUAAAAAUAAUAAAGAGAAAAGUAUUUAAAAAGUGAAAAUAAGUGGAAAAAUAAAUUCAAGUGAAAUAAAAUCAAUAGAUUGAAUUGUAAGACAAAUUUGAAAAAACAAUUAAAAUAAAAAAGAGAGAAGGGGUGCAGAAAGCAGAAUAAGGUCUGAUUGAGCAAUUAAGGGUGCAUGCCCUGUUGCUAAGCCCACAAUCUUGUUUCAGUCCAGGGAGUGGGUGUAGAAAUGAAUCUAGUGGUGUGGAUAGUGAGAGAAUGGGCUUGAAGCCUGACACAUGAAACCUCAGCCAAAAAUAGGAAGAUUCAGGGUUCAAAAACAAAACAAACUGCGCGCCAUGCUUCCUCACCGUCUCCACCGCGCUGGCGUCGCCUCCGGCGGUGGCGGAGAACCCAUAAUCAAUAAGCAAUCACAUCAUCUUGAUCCUCUAUUCAGCCCGAGUUUGAAUCUAGCAAAGGAAAGUCGAAAAUCACAAUGAAUAGUCCGGAUCGAAGGUUGCAAAGCAAGAACCCUAAAGCUUGGAAGUGAAAUUAAAUGAUGAUCGCGCGUGGAAUCAAGCAAUUGAUUGAGGGCUUUGGCACUUCGGUAAUAAAUGUUUGGUGAAUGGAUGGAAAAGCUCUGUAUCUCCGAUGCAAGCUCCGACGAAGAUGAGUUGAAGAAGAUGAACUGAGCUUCAAUUCCAGUAUGCGUUCUCUUUCUUCUCCUUUGCUCUUCUUCCGUUUCUCUCAUUAUUGUUGAGCUUCAAGGUUAAGACUCAACAAUCCUCAGAUAAAUCGAGCUUUAACAGUAAGGUUGAGUAUUUUUCUGUAGAGUAACUUUAGGUUUUCUUAUCCUCCCAAUGCUCAAGGAUUCAAUCCCUUUUAUAGGAGAGAGGGCGAGGUAACCUGUGAUUCUCAAACAUGUGAGGUCAGGGGGAACAAAUGAGGCUGCUAGGUGAAUGUUAACUGAUUUGAGCAUGAUGUAAUGUGUAUGAACUUUGCUGUUAAUGCCUGUAGGUUACUUGGAUCACCAAUUCAGUAGCAUAGCUUAGAUUAUCAGUUUAGUGUAGACAUUAGCAUAAUUUUGCUUGGUUUGUUUGCUGCUGCUAUGCUAUGUAGAACAUGCAUGUUUGAUGACUGUGCUGCAAUGUUAUUGAUGCCAUUAGAUUGCUGCUAGUGUAUGAAAUGCAUUAGGAUUGUUAAACUGAAAAUGGACUGCCAUGAAUAUGAUCUUAUGAUGCUAUUGGUUUAGACAUGAUGUUGCUGUUAUGGAAUGCAGUCACAUGCUAUGCAUGCAUUCUCUUGUGCCUUAUAUCAUGGUAUAGCUUGGUAGGUUGCUUGAUGAAAUAUGGUUUAAGGCUGAUAUUGUCACGAUCAUGAUGUUGAAUGUAUGUGUUGGAUGCUUGCUAUGAGAAUUGAAUGAACAUUUGUAUGGGAUGCCUUUUUAUUUCAAUGAAAAGAAUACUUUAAAUUCAAAUGACAUUUUCCACUAAAAUCAUGUUUGAAUGGCCUUAUUUGAAUUAUGCUCCAUGAAUUUGAAUGAAACAUGGAACUUGAAAGAAUGAG